UACAGAGGGUGCGAGCGUUGUUCGGAUUUACUGGGCGUAAAGGGCGCGUAGGCGGUCAGCACAAGUCAGUUGUGAAAUCUCCGGGCUUAACCCGGAAAGGUCAACUGAUACUGUGCGACUAGAGUGCGGAAGGGGCAACUGGAAUUCUCGGUGUAGCGGUGAAAUGCGUAGAUAUCGAGAGGAACACCUGCGGCGAAGGCGGGUUGCUGGGCCGACACUGACGCUGAUGCGCGAAAGCCAGGGGAGCGAACGGG
rnacentral:rRNA from 1 species